rnacentral:lncRNA from 1 species
GGCUGAGACAGCAGCACGACACUCUCUUGCCUGUGAGAAUAUGGCCUUGAUGACAACAUAAAGCCCAAAAGGACAAUUUCCAAAAAAAUUGAAUCAGAAUAAACAAAAAGAGCCAGGUUUCUGGAAAAUAUAUCAGGUCCAGGAGACUGGUUCAUCAUGGAACAGCAGGAUUUGCAGUGAAGAGCAGGAAGUCACCUGGUUCUGAGAAGGGCUGGAGUUCCACUAAUUAACACCACUAACAGCACCAAAGGGAUUCCUGGGAAGCACAACAGUGGAAAGACAAAUAUUAUGGUAAUAAGUA